GUUCCGUAGGGUGAACCUGCGGAGGGAUCAUUACCGAGUUUACAACUCCCAAACCCAAUGUGAACGUUACCAAACUGUUGCCUCGGCGGGGUCACGCCCCGGGUGCGUCGCAGCCCCGGAACCAGGCGCCCGCCGGAGGAACCAACCAAACUCUUUCUGUAGUCCCCUCGCGGACGUAUUUCUUACAGCUCUGAGCAAAAAUUCAAAAUGAAUCAAAACUUUCAACAACGGAUCUCUUGGUUCUGGCAUCGAUGAAGAACGCAGCGAAAUGCGAUAAGUAAUGUGAAUUGCAGAAUUCAGUGAAUCAUCGAAUCUUUGAACGCACAUUGCGCCCGCCAGUAUUCUGGCGGGCAUGCCUGUCCGAGCGUCAUUUCAACCCUCGAACCCCUCCGGGGGAUCGGCGUUGGGGAUCGGGACCCCUCACACGGGUGCCGGCCCCGAAAUACAGUGGCGGUCUCGCCGCAGCCUCUCCUGCGCAGUAGUUUGCACAACUCGCACCGGGAGCGCGGCGCGUCCACGUCCGUAAAACACCCAACUUUCUGAAAUGUUGACCUCGGAUCAGGUAGGAAUACCCGCUGAACUUAAGCAUAU
rnacentral:rRNA from 1 species